rnacentral:rRNA from 1 species
AGGAUUAACGCUGGCGGCGUGCCUAACACAUGCAAGUCGAACGAGGUAGCAAUACCUAGUGGCGAACGGGUGAGUAACACGUGGGCAACCUACCCUCAGCUCUGGGAUAACCCCGGGAAACCGGAGCUAAUACCGGAUAUGACCAAGAACGACAUCGUUCUUGGUGGAAAGUUUUUCGGCUGAGGAUGGGCCCGCGGCCUAUCAGCUUGUUGGUGAGGUAACGGCCCACCAAGGCGACGACGGGUAGCC